GACGAACGCUGGCGGCGUGCUUAACACAUGCAAGUGGAGCGACGAACCAGGGCUUGCCCUGGGGCAGAGCCGCGAACGGGUGAGUAACACGUGGGUAACCUGCCUCGAUGAUCGGGACAACCCGGGGAAACCCGGGCUAAUACCGAAUGUACUGCCGAGUCACCAGACUCGGUUGGAAAGGAAGCUUCGGCCUCCGCAUCGAGAUGGGCCCGCGGCCCAUUAGCUUGUUGGCGAGGUAAUGGCUCACCAAGGCUUCGAUGGGUAGCUGGUCUGAGAGGACGAGCAGCCACACUGGGACGGAGACACGGCCCAGACUCCUACGGGAGGCAGCAGAGGGGAAUCUUGCGCAAUGCGCGAAAGCGUGACGCAGCAACGCCGCGUGAGGGAAGACGGCCUUCGGGUUGUAAACCUCUUUCAGUUGGGACGAAGCUCUCGCCGUUAAUAGCGGUGUGGAGUGACGGUACCUUCAGAAGAAGCCCCGGCUAACUACGUGCCAGCAGCCGCCGUAACAC
rnacentral:rRNA from 1 species